GUUAGCUAAUCUACCAUCUAAAUAUUUUUGGAUGAGACAAAAGUUAUUGAUUUCUUUACAGAUCCAUGGACAAAGGUCAGCAUAAUGAUAAGCCAUAAGGACUAAGUCUAUUUCUAUGCCUCUGAACAGCUCUCUAUCCAGCAGAUAACCACAUUUUUGACAAGAUGCAAAACAGAUACUUUGAAAUGACUACUGGAUCUGGAGUUAUAGAAUCUGAGGUUAAAACCCAGCUCUGCUAGAUAUUGCCCACGUGACCUUGAGCCAGUCAUUCUGGCUCAUUCAGUCAUUCAGGAGGAAGAGUAUGAACUAGACCAGUGGUGAAAAACUCAAAACAGAAUCUGGCAACAAACUUACAUAUUCCUUGGAAAACUACCAAAUUAACUUCUAUUUUGUAUUUUUCUUUAUUUUAAAUAAAAUAAUUACAUUUUGAUCCGG